rnacentral:rRNA from 1 species
GACGAACGUUGGCGGCGUGCUUAACACAUGCAAGUCGAACGGAAAGGCCCUGCUUUUGUGGGGUGCUCGAGUGGCGAACGGGUGAGUAACACGUGAGUAACCUGCCCUUGACUUUGGGAUAACUUCAGGAAACUGGGGCUAAUACCGGAUAGGAGCUCCUGCUGCAUGGUGGGGGUUGGAAAGUUUCGGCGGUUGGGGAUGGACUUGCGGCUUAUCAGCUUGUUGGUGGGGUAGUGGCUUACCAAGGCUUUGACGGGUAGCCGGCCUGAGAGGGUGACCGGCCACAUUGGGACUGAGAUACGGCCCAGACUCCUACGGGAGGCAGCAGUGGGGAAUAUUGCACAAUGGGCGGAAGCCUGAUGCAGCAACGCCGCGUGCGGGAUGACGGCCUUCGGGUUGUAAACCGCUUUCGCCUGUGACGAAGCGUGAGUGACGGUAAUGGGUAAAGAAGCACCGGCUAACUACGUGCCAGCAGCCGCGGUGAUACGUAGGGUGCGAGCGUUGUCCGGAUUUAUUGGGCGUAAAGGGCUCGUAGGUGGUUGAUCGCGUCGGAAGUGUAAUCUUGGGGCUUAACCCUGAGCGUGCUUUCGAUACGGGUUGACUUGAGGAAGGUAGGGGAGAAUGGAAUUCCUGGUGGAGCGGUGGAAUGCGCAGAUAUCAGGAGGAACACCAGUGGCGAAGGCGGUUCUCUGGGCCUUUCCUGACGCUGAGGAGCGAAAGCGUGGGGAGCGAACAGGCUUAGAUACCCUGGUAGUCCACGCUGUAAACGGUGGGUACUAGGUGUGGGGUCCAUUCCACGGGUUCCGUGCCGUAGCUAACGCUUUAAGUACCCCGCCUGGGGAGUACGGCCGCAAGGCUAAAACUCAAAGGAAUUGACGGGGCCCCGCACAAGCGGCGGAGCAUGCGGAUUAAUUCGAUGCAACGCGUAGAACCUUACCUGGGUUUGACAUGGAUCGGGAGUGCUCAGAGAUGGGUGUGCCUCUUUUGGGGUCGGUUCACAGGUGGUGCAUGGCUGUCGUCAGCUCGUGUCGUGAGAUGUUGGGUUAAGUCCCGCAACGAGCGCAACCCUUGUUCACUGUUGCCAGCACGUUAUGGUGGGGACUCAGUGGAGACCGCCGGGGUCAACUCGGAGGAAGGUGGGGAUGACGUCAAGUCAUCAUGCCCCUUAUGUCCAGGGCUUCACGCAUGCUACAAUGGCUGGUACAGAGAGUGGCGAGCCUGUGAGGGUGAGCGAAUCUCGGAAAGCCGGUCUCAGUUCGGAUUGGGGUCUGCAACUCGACCUCAUGAAGUCGGAGUCGCUAGUAAUCGCAGAUCAGCAACGCUGCGGUGAAUACGUUCCCGGGGCU